CUAUAGCUACAUGUACAUCACAUAGUUGCUAUAGCUACAUGUAUAUCAUAUAGUUGCUAUAGCUACAUGUAUAUCACAUAGUUGCUAUAGCUACAUGUACACUGAGUGUACAAAACAUUAUGAACACCUGCUCUUUCCAUGACAAAGACUGACCAGGUCAAUCCAGACUUAGCCUUGAGCCAAUUGAGACAUGGAUUGUAUAUGUGUGCCAUUUAGAGGUUGAAUGGGCAAGACAAAACAUUGAAGAACCUUUGAA